rnacentral:misc_RNA from 1 species
AGGUGAAUAUCUUGCCAAAGAUCCUGUAACUAAUACCCCUCAUAGAAAUAAUUCUGGCAUGAAUCAUGAACAGAGUUUUGAAAAUGAACAAGAUGACCUGGCGGGAUUGGCUGAAAGGUUUAACAAUCUUAAGAGCACUAAUAAACCUAGUCAGCUGGAAUCCUCUAAAUCCAGCAGUUGUUGUGUGGAUGAUUACACACAGGGGAGUGAUUUUCAAAUGGCAGAUAGGCAUUUUAGGAAGAAUAUAUCUGAAUUAGAGAGGAGUGACCUUAAGGGUGAAGCAAAUAUAAAGGGAGAGUCUAGUGAAUCUGAGGUAGAACUUGUGAGUGAAGUGCAUGAUGAAAUGAGAUCAGAAAAUGUUGGUUAUUUUGAAGCAACCAGCAAUAGAGAACAGUCUAGCAGCGUUUCAUCUCAUUCUCAUUCUCAAAUUUCUAGGGAUGAUCACAAUGUUUUUUCGAGUUUCAGCCACCAGAAAUUUAGUGAGGAAGCUGCUAAGGAACCUUAUAUUUUUUAUGAAGGAAACUUCCAAAGAAAUACCAAAGAAACAAACCCAUUUGAUAAUGCUUCUGUGGUUUUUGAUGAUUCUGG